rnacentral:rRNA from 1 species
GAUGAACGCUAGCUACAGGCUUAACACAUGCAAGUCGAGGGGCAUCAGGAAGAAAGCUUGCUUUCUUUGCUGGCGACCGGCGCACGGGUGAGUAACACGUAUCCAACCUGCCCUUUACUCGGGGAUAGCCUUUCGAAAGAAAGAUUAAUACCCGAUGGCAUAAUGAUUCCGCAUGGUUUCAUUAUUAAAGGAUUCCGGUAAAGGAUGGGGAUGCGUUCCAUUAGGUUGUUGGUGAGGUAACGGCUCACCAAGCCUUCGAUGGAUAGGGGUUCUGAGAGGAAGGUCCCCCACAUUGGAACUGAGACACGGUCCAAACUCCUACGGGAGGCAGCAGUGAGGAAUAUUGGUCAAUGGGCGCUAGCCUGAACCAGCCAAGUAGCGUGAAGGAUGAAGGCUCUAUGGGUCGUAAACUUCUUUUAUAUAAGAAUAAAGUGCAGUAUGUAUACUGUUUUGUAUGUAUUAUAUGAAUAAGGAUCGGCUAACUCCGUGCCAGCAGCCGCGGUAAUACGGAGGAUCCGAGCGUUAUCCGGAUUUAUUGGGUUUAAAGGGAGCGUAGGUGGACUGGUAAGUCAGUUGUGAAAGUUUGCGGCUCAACCGUAAAAUUGCAGUUGAUACUGUCAGUCUUGAGUACAGUAGAGGUGGGCGGAAUUCGUGGUGUAGCGGUGAAAUGCUUAGAUAUCACGAAGGACUCCGAUUGCGAAGGCAGCUCACUGGACUGCAACUGACACUGAUGCUCGAAAGUGUGGGUAUCAAACAGGAUUAGAUACCCUGGUAGUCCACACAGUAAACGAUGAAUACUCGCUGUUUGCGAUAUACAGUAAGCGGCCAAGCGAAAGCAUUAAGUAUUCCACCUGGGGAGUACGCCGGCAACGGUGAAACUCAAAGGAAUUGACGGGGGCCCGCACAAGCGGAGGAACAUGUGGUUUAAUUCGAUGAUACGCGAGGAACCUUACCCGGGCUUAAAUUGCAGUGGAAUGAUGUGGAAACAUGUCAGUGAGCAAUCACCGCUGUGAAGGUGCUGCAUGGUUGUCGUCAGCUCGUGCCGUGAGGUGUCGGCUUAAGUGCCAUAACGAGCGCAACCCUUAUCUUUAGUUACUAACAGGUUAUGCUGAGGACUCUAGAGAGACUGCCGUCGUAAGAUGUGAGGAAGGUGGGGAUGACGUCAAAUCAGCACGGCCCUUACGUCCGGGGCUACACACGUGUUACAAUGGGGGGUACAGAAGGCAGCUAGCGGGUGACCGUAUGCUAAUCCCAAAAGCCUCUCUCAGUUCGGAUCGAAGUCUGCAACCCGACUUCGUGAAGCUGGAUUCGCUAGUAAUCGCGCAUCAGCCACGGCGCGGUGAAUACGUUCCCGGGCCUUGUACACACCGCCCGUCAAGCCAUGGGAGCCGGGGGUACCUGAAGUACGUAACCGCAAGGAUCGUCCUAGGGUAAAACUGGUGACUGG